rnacentral:rRNA from 1 species
AUGGGCUCGGGUUUCCCCUACACCCAUUUGUACGUGGAGUCAUGUAUUACUAUGGGGUUGAUUUUCAUGAUAUUUCCUCCCAACUCUUUUCUCAAUAUCUCGACGUUCAUCGUCGCAUGCGAGGCCUUCCUCCGGAUUCCGCCUCACUUCGGCUUGUGGCUGAAGAUUUUCAAUGUGAAGCCCAAGGUGGUGAGUGGCGAACACGGCGAGUGCGGCGGCACCAUGGUGAGCAAGAUGCCCAAGGUAGUUUGGCCGAAGGGCACUUUCAACGACUCCGUCAAGGAGUGGCAGCAGCAGUGGUUUUAUAUCACCGAACCACGCCGCGAAGAGUGGGCUGCAGCUCCUGAGUUCAGAUCCGAAGCUCCACUGCAGCUCACGUCCUGGCCCAAGAAGGGAUCGAACUGGUGCUCGUCCGAUGAGCUGUCACUGCUCCAGACGCGCAUUCAGAGUAUGGUUAACAAGGACGUCAAACUUGUUGACAUGGUCCAGGUGAUGCUAGUUCUCCUGGUUCUCCCUUGCCAGCGUCGAGCCUGCACCUUGUGGGAGUUCGACCAAGCCGAGCACGAAACCCUCCGGGAGCUCUAUGAUUCCUCCCACGAGGAUAUCUGGAAGGUGCUCUUCAGGUCCGGCAAAUGGCCGGAUUCCACCGAGGAUCGGGGAUAUCAAUUAUCCCAUUCUCCAAGCCCAGUAAGUCACAGCCACGCCCUGUCCAUCCAUGCUUUUUGUCAUGUCCUGAGGGACAAUUCUAAUCGUGUCUCGUCGUGA